AUUGAACGCUGGCGGCAUGCUUUACACAUGCAAGUCGGACGAGUGGCGAACGGGUGAGUAACGCCUCGGAAAGUACCGAGUACUGGGGGAUAACUGACCGAAAGGACAGAUAAUACCGCAUAUUAUUCGAGCGGCCGUAGUCUGAUUAGCUGGUUGGCGGGGUAAAGGCCCACCAAGGCGACGAUCAGUAGCGGGGCUGAGAGGAUGAUCCGCCAAACUGGGACUGAUCCACGGCCCAGACUCCUACGGGAGGCAGCAGUGGGGAAUUUUGGACAAUGGGCGCAAGCCUGAUCCAGCCAUGCCGCGUGUCUGAAGAAGGCCUUCGGGUUGUAAAGGACUUUUGUCAGGGAAGCGGUACCUGAAGAAUAAGCACCGGCUAACUACGUGCCAGCAGCCGCGGUAAUAC
rnacentral:rRNA from 1 species